rnacentral:rRNA from 1 species
AACGAACGCUGGCGGCGUGCCUAACACAUGCAAGUCGUGCGAGAAAGUUCCUUCGGGAGCGAGUAAAGCGGCGCACGGGUGAGUAACACGUAAGUAACCUGCCCCCCAGUCUGGAACAACUAGAGGAAACUCUAGCUAAUGCCGGAUGAGACCACGAUCCCUUCGGGGGUUGCGGCCAAAGAUGGCCUCUACUUGUAAGCUAUCGCUGAGGGAUGGGCCUGCGGGCCAUUAGCUUGUUGGUGAGGUAACGGCUCACCAAGGCUGUGAUGGCUAGCUGGUCUGAGAGGAUGACCAGCCACACUGGGACUGAGACACGGCCCAGACUCCUACGGGAGGCAGCAGUGGGGAAUAUUGCGCAAUGGGCGAAAGCCUGACGCAGCGACGCCGCGUGGGUGAUGAAGGCCU